UACGUAGGGUGCGAGCGUUGUCCGGAAUUAUUGGGCGUAAAGGGCUCGUAGGCGGUUUGUCGCGUCGGGAGUGAAAAUCCAGGGCUUAACUCUGGACUGGCUUCCGAUACGGGCAGACUAGAGGUAUGCAGGGGAGAACGGAAUUCCUGGUGUAGCGGUGAAAUGCGCAGAUAUCGGGAGGAACACCGGUGGCGAAGGCGGCGAACCUGGGUAGAUACGUGACGCUGAGGUGCGAAAGCGUGGGGAGCAAACAGGG
rnacentral:rRNA from 1 species